AUGGCGCAAGAUAAUACCAAAUUGUGUGACUUCUCGAAUACCAAUAAUAAUGAUUUCCUUAGUACUCCGAUUGCUCCUCUUAAUAAUGAUGAGUCUUGUGAAAUCCAUACCGCUUUGCUGAACCUUGUUAUGAAAGAUCAAUUCGCCGGCCUUCCUAGUGAAGAUGCCACUACUCAUCUAAACAAUUUUGUUGAUUUGUGUGAUAUGCAAAAGAAAAAAGAUACGGAUAACAAUAUUGUAAAAUUGAAGUUAUUUCCGUUUUCUCUUAGAGAUCGUGCUAAAGUUUGGUUUUCGUCUUUGCCUAAAAAUAGUAUUGAUUCUUGGAACAAGUGCAAAGAUGCUUUUAUCUCUAAGUAUUUUCCUCCCGCUAAGAUCAUCACUCUUAGGAACGAUAUUAUGAAUUUUAAACAACUUGAUCAUGAGCAUGUUGCCCAAUCUUGGGAAAGAAUGAAAUUAAUGCUUCACAAUUGCCCUACUCAUGGUUUGAAUUUAUGGAUGAUCAUACAAAAAUUUUAUACCGGAUUGAAUUUUUCUUCUAGAAAUAUUUUAGAUUCGGCCGCGGGGGGCACGUUUAUGGAAAUUACGUUAGGAGAUACUACAAAAUUGCUUGAUAAUAUUAUGGCUAAUUAUUCUCAAUGGCACACCAAAAGAUCUUCUAGUAAAAAAGUGCAUGCUAUAGAAGAAACAAUGUUUUGA
rnacentral:rRNA from 1 species